AUGAACGCUGGCGGCGUGCCUAAUACAUGCAAGUCGAGCGAACAGAUAAGGAGCUUGCUCCUUUGACGUUAGCGGCGGACGGGUGAGUAACACGUGGGUAACCUACCUAUAAGACUGGAAUAACUCCGGGAAACCGGGGCUAAUGCCGGAUAAUAUUUAGAACCGCAUGGUUCUAAAGUGAAAGAUGGUUUUACUAUCACUUAUAGAUGGACCCGCGCCGUAUUAGCUAGUUGGUGGGGUAAUGGCUUACCAAGGCAACGAUACGUAGCCGACCUGAGAGGGUGAUCGGCCACACUGGAACUGAGACACGGUCCAGACUCCUACGGGAGGCAGCAGUAGGGAAUCUUCCGCAAUGGGCGAAAGCCUGACGGAGCAACGCCGCGUGAGUGAUGAAGGUCUUCGGAUCGUAAAACUCUGUUAUUAGGGAAGAACAAAUGUGUAAGUAACUGUGCACGUCUUGACGGUACCUAAUCAGAAAGCCACGGCUAACUACGUGCCAGCAGCCGCGGUAAUAC
rnacentral:rRNA from 1 species